UGGAGAGCCAGGAGCACAAGGCCUUCCUGGUCCACAGGGUCUCAGAGGAAUCACAGGGAUGAUGGGCCCUAAAGGGGACAGGGGACCCCGUGGAAAUGUUGGCGACCUGGGCCCUCAGGGUAUUCAGGGCGCUCCUGGUGAUCAGGGUCAAAGAGGAAAAGUAGGUGAGACUGGACCAAAAGGAGCUCAGGUGAGUUAUCAUCCAACAACAAAACAACACAUUGCAUUAUAUUUAUCAUGACAU
rnacentral:lncRNA from 1 species